rnacentral:rRNA from 1 species
CACGCCGUAAACGAUGGAUGCUAGGUGUUGGUGGUAUCGACCCCAUCGGCGCCGUAGCUAACGCGUUAAGCAUCCCGCCUGAGGAUUACGGCCGCAAGGCUAAAACUCAAAGGAAUUGACGGGGGCCCGCACAAGCAGCGGAGCGUGUGGUUUAAUUCGAUGUAACACGAAGAACCUUACCAGGGUUUGACAUGUACGUGGUAGGGAUGUGAAAGCUGAACGACCCCUUCGGGGGAGCGUACACAGGUGC